UACGAAGGGUGCAAGCGUUACUCGGAAUUACUGGGCGUAAAGCGUGCGCAGGUGGUUUGUUAAGUCUGUUGUGAAAGCCCCGGGCUCAACCUGGGAAUGGCAAUGGAUACUGGCAGGCUAGAGUGCGGUAGAGGGUAGUGGAAUUCCCGGUGUAGCGGUGAAAUGCGUAGAGAUCGGAAAGAACACCAACGGCGAAAGCACUCUGCUGGGCCGACACUGACACUGAGAGACGAAAGCUAGGGGAGCGAAUGGG
rnacentral:rRNA from 1 species